AGUAACGGCGAGCGAACCGGGAACAGCCCAAGNCUUAGAAAUCGGGCGGCUCCGNCCGUCCGAAUUGUAGCCUGGAGAAGCGUCCUCAGCGGCGGACCGGGCCCAAGUCCCCUGGNAAUGGGGCCACCGGAGAGGGUGACAGU
rnacentral:rRNA from 1 species